rnacentral:rRNA from 1 species
GCAGGCCUACGGGGCGCAGCAGUGGGGAAUAUUGCACAAUGGGGGAAACCCUGAUGCAGCGACGCCGCGUGAGUGAGGAAGUAUUUCGGUAUGUAAAGCUCUAUCAGCAGGGAAGAAAAUGACGGUACCUGACUAAGAAGCCCCGGCUAACUACGUGCCAGCAGCCGCGGUAAUACGUAGGGGGCAAGCGUUAUCCGGAUUUACUGGGUGUAAAGGGAGCGUAGACGGAGGAGCAAGUCUGGAGUGAAAUGCCGGGGCCCAACCCCGGAACUGCUCUGGAAACUGUGAAGCUGGAGUGCAGGAGG